rnacentral:piRNA from 1 species
GCCUAGUGUGACAAACUUUCAUUGCUUGCU